AGAGCGGAACGCGUGGACGGGCAUGCUUAACACAUGCAAGUCGCACGGGCAGGGGAAACCCUGUCAGUGGCGGACGGGUGAGUAACGCGUAGGUAUCUAUCCUUGGGUGGGGGACAACCGUGGGAAACUACGGCUAAUACCGCAUGAUGACUGAGGUCCAAAGCUUGUGAGAGCGCCUGGGGCGGAGCCUGCGUACGAUUAGCUAGUUGGUGGGGUAAAGGCCUACCAAGGCUGCGAUCGUUAGCUGGUCUGAGAGGAUGAUCAGCCACAUUGGGACUGAGACACGGCCCAAACUCCUACGGGAGGCAGCAGUGGGGAAUAUUGGACAAUGGGCGCAAGCCUGACGGAGCGACGCCGCGUGUGGGAAGAAGGCCUUCGGGUCGUAAACCACUGUCGAAGGGGACGAUAAUGACGGUACCCUUGGAGGAAGCCCCGGCUAACUACGUGCCAGCAGCCGC
rnacentral:rRNA from 1 species